rnacentral:rRNA from 1 species
UUUAAUGAGAGUUUGAUCCUGGCUCAGGACGAACGCUGGCGGCGUGCCUAAUACAUGCAAGUAGAACGCUGAAAUCUGGUGCUUGCACUAGACGGAUGAGUUGCGAACGGGUGAGUAACGCGUAGGUAACCUGCCUCAUAGCGGGGGAUAACUAUUGGAAACGAUAGCUAAUACCGCAUAACAGUAUUUACCGCAUGGUAGGUACUUGAAAGGAGCAAUUGCUUCACUAUGAGAUGGACCUGCGUUGUAUUAGCUAGUUGGUGAGGUAACGGCUUACCAAGGCUUCGAUACAUAGCCGACCUGAGAGGG